rnacentral:rRNA from 1 species
GCAGUCGGACGGGAUUUGGGAGCUUGCUCCUAAUGAGAGUGGCGCACGGGUGCGUAACACGUAUGUAACCUACCAUUGUCAGGGGGAUAGCCUCUCGAAAGAGAGAUUAACACCGCAUAAUAUUAUUGAAUAGCAUUAUUUAAUAAUCAAAUAUUUAUAGGACAAUGAUGGGCAUGCGGGACAUUAGCUAGAUGGUGAGGUAACGGCUCACCAUGGCGACGAUGUCUAGGGGAUCUGAGAGGAUGACCCCCCACACUGGUACUGAGACACGGACCAGACUCCUACGGGAGGCAGCAGUAAGGAAUAUUGGUCAAUGGAGGCAACUCUGAACCAGCCAUGCCGCGUGCAGGAAGACGGCCCUACGGGUUGUAAACUGCUUUUGUACCGGAAUAAACCUUGAUACGUGUAUCGAGCUGAAUGUACGGUAAGAAUAAGGAUCGGCUAACUCCGUGCCAGCAGCCGCGGUAAUACGGAGGAUCCAAGCGUUAUCCGGAUUUAUUGGGUUUAAAGGGUGCGUAGGCGGCUUAUUAAGUCAGGGGUGAAAGGCGGUAGCUUAACUAUCGGAGUGCCCUUGAUACUGAUGAGCUUGAAUGCAGCUGAGGUAGGCGGAAUGUGACAAGUAGCGGUGAAAUGCAUAGAUAUGUCACAGAACACCGAUUGCGAAGGCAGCUUACUAAAGUGCGAUUGACGCUGAGGCACGAAAGCGUGGGGAUCAAACAGGAUUAGAUACCCUGGUAGUCCACGCCCUAAACGAUGAAUACUCGAUGUUGGCGAUAUACGGUCAGCGUCUAAGCGAAAGCGUUAAGUAUUCCACCUGGGGAGUACGCCCGCAAGGGUGAAACUCAAAGGAAUUGACGGGGGCCCGCACAAGCGGAGGAGCAUGUGGUUUAAUUCGAUGAUACGCGAGGAACCUUACCCGGGCUUGAAAGUUAGUGAAUGAUACAGAGACGUAUCAGUCCUUCGGGACACGAAACUAGGUGCUGCAUGGCUGUCGUCAGCUCGUGCCGUGAGGUGUUGGGUUAAGUCCCGCAACGAGCGCAACCCCUGUGUUUAGUUGCCAGCACGUAAU